UGUGUGUUAGUGGAAGCGUCUGGAAAGGCGCGCGAUACAGGGUGACAGCCCCGUACACAAAAAUGCACAUGCUGUGAGCUCGAUGAGUAGGGCGGGACACGUGGUAUCCUGUCUGAAUAUGGGGGGACCAUCCUCCAAGGCUAAAUACUCCUGACUGACCGAUAGUGAACCAGUACCGUGAGGGAAAGGCGAAAAGAACCCCGGCGAGGGGAGUGAAAAAGAACCUGAAACCGUGUACGUACAAGCAGUGGGAGCACGCUUAGGCGUGUGACUGCGUACCUUUUGUAUAAUGGGUCAGCGACUUAUAUUCUGUAGCAAGGUUAACCGAAUAGGGGAGCCGAAGGGAAACCGAGUCUUAACUGGGCGUUAAGUUGCAGGGUAUAGACCCGAAACCCGGUGAUCUAGCCAUGGGCAGGUUGAAGGUUGGGUAACACUAACUGGAGGACCGAACCGACUAAUGUUGAAAAAUUAGCGGAUGACUUGUGGCUGGGGGUGAAAGGCCAAUCAAACCGGGAGAUAGCUGGUUCUCCCCGAAAGCUAUUUAGGUAGCGCCUCGUGAAUUCAUCUCCGGGGGUAGAGCACUGUUUCGGCAAGGGGGUCAUCCCGACUUACCAACCCGAUGCAAACUGCGAAUACCGGAGAAUGUUAUCACGGGAGACACACGGCGGGUGCUAACGUCCGUCGUGAAGAGGGAAACAACCCAGACCGCCAGCUAAGGUCCCAAAGUCAUGGUUAAGUGGGAAACGAUGUGGGAAGGCCCAGACAGCCAGGAUGUUGGCUUAGAAGCAGCCAUCAUUUAAAGAAAGCGUAAUAGCUCACUGGUCGAGUCGGCCUGCGCGGAAGAUGUAACGGGGCUAAACCAUGCACCGAAGCUGCGGCAGCGACGCUUAUGCGUUGUUGGGUAGGGGAGCGUUCUGUAAGCCUGUGAAGGUGUGCUGUGAGGCAUGCUGGAGGUAUCAGAAGUGCGAAUGCUGACAUAAGUAACGAUAAAGCGGGUGAAAAGCCCGCUCGCCGGAAGACCAAGGGUUCCUGUCCAACGUUAAUCGGGGCAGGGUGAGUCGACCCCUAAGGCGAGGCCGAAAGGCGUAGUCGAUGGGAAACAGGUUAAUAUUCCUGUACUUGGUGUUACUGCGAAGGGGGGACGGAGAAGGCUAUGUUGGCCGGGCGACGGUUGUCCCGGUUUAAGCGUGUAGGCUGGUUUUCCAGGCAAAUCCGGAAAAUCAAGGCUGAGGCGUGAUGACGAGGCACUACGGUGCUGAAGCAACAAAUGCCCUGCUUCCAGGAAAAGCCUCUAAGCAUCAGGUAACAUCAAAUCGUACCCCAAACCGACACAGGUGGUCAGGUAGAGAAUACCAAGGCGCUUGAGAGAACUCGGGUGAAGGAACUAGGCAAAAUGGUGCCGUAACUUCGGGAGAAGGCACGCUGAUAUGUAGGUGAAGUCCCUUGCGGAUGGAGCUGAAAUCAGUCGAAGAUACCAGCUGGCUGCAACUGUUUAUUAAAAACACAGCACUGUGCAAACACGAAAGUGGACGUAUACGGUGUGACGCCUGCCCGGUGCCGGAAGGUUAAUUGAUGGGGUUAGCGCAAGCGAAGCUCUUGAUCGAAGCCCCGGUAAACGGCGGCCGUAACUAUAACGGUCCUAAGGUAGCGAAAUUCCUUGUCGGGUAAGUUCCGACCUGCACGAAUGGCGUAAUGAUGGCCAGGCUGUCUCCACCCGAGACUCAGUGAAAUUGAACUCGCUGUGAAGAUGCAGUGUACCCGCGGCAAGACGGAAAGACCCCGUGAACCUUUACUAUAGCUUGACACUGAACAUUGAGCCUUGAUGUGUAGGAUAGGUGGGAGGCUUGGAAGUGUGGACGCCAGUCUGCAUGGAGCCGACCUUGAAAUACCACCCUUUAAUGUUUGAUGUUCUAACGUUGACCCGUAAUCCGGGUUGCGGACAGUGUCUGGUGGGUAGUUUGACUGGGGCGGUCUCCUCCUAAAGAGUAACGGAGGAGCACGAAGGUUGGCUAAUCCUGGUCGGACAUCAGGAGGUUAGUGCAAUGGCAUAAGCCAGCUUGACUGCGAGCGUGACGGCGCGAGCAGGUGCGAAAGCAGGUCAUAGUGAUCCGGUGGUUCUGAAUGGAAGGGCCAUCGCUCAACGGAUAAAAGGUACUCCGGGGAUAACAGGCUGAUACCGCCCAAGAGUUCAUAUCGACGGCGGUGUUUGGCACCUCGAUGUCGGCUCAUCACAUCCUGGGGCUGAAGUAGGUCCCAAGGGUAUGGCUGUUCGCCAUUUAAAGUGGUACGCGAGCUGGGUUUAGAACGUCGUGAGACAGUUCGGUCCCUAUCUGCCGUGGGCGCUGGAGAACUGAGGGGGGCUGCUCCUAGUACGAGAGGACCGGAGUGGACGCAUCACUGGUGUUCGGGUUGUCAUGCCAAUGGCACUGCCCGGUAGCUAAAUGCGGAAGAGAUAAGUGCUGAAAGCAUCUAAGCACGAAACUUGCC
rnacentral:rRNA from 1 species